rnacentral:pre_miRNA from 1 species
AAAAAGACAAACCCUAGUUUCCGUGCCCAACGUUUGACCGUCCGUCUUAUUUGAAAAAAUUAUGAAAAAAAUUAAAAAGACAAGUCACGCAUAAAAUAUUAAUCAUGUUUUAUCAUCUAAGAACAAUAAAAAUACGAAUUAUAAAAAAAUUUCAUAUAAGACGGACAGUCAAAGUUGGACACGGAAACCCAGGGUUUGCCUUUUU